rnacentral:rRNA from 1 species
GACGAACGCUGGCGGCGUGCUUAACACAUGCAAGUCGAACGGAAAGGCCCUGCUUUUGUGGGGUGCUCGAGUGGCGAACGGGUGAGUAACACGUGAGUAACCUGCCCUUGACUUUGGGAUAACUUCAGGAAACUGGGGCUAAUACCGGAUAGGAGCUCCUGCUGCAUGGUGGGGGUUGGAAAGUUUCGGCGGUUGGGGAUGGACUCGCGGCUUAUCAGCUUGUUGGUGGGGUAGUGGCUUACCAAGGCUUUGACGGGUAGCCGGCCUGAGAGGGUGACCGGCCACAAUGGGACUGAGAUACGGAGCAGACUCCUACGGGAGGCAGCAGUGGGGAAUAUUGCACAAUGGGCGCAAGCCGGAUGAAGCAACGCCGGGGGCGGGAUGACAGCUUUCGGGUUGUAAACCGCUUUCGCCUGUGACGAAGCGUGAGUGGCGGUAAUGGGUAAAGAAGCACCGGCUAACUACGUG